rnacentral:lncRNA from 1 species
CUCUGGCACAUGUUGGAUUAAAAAAAAAAUGCCUGGUUGCAUUUUACUUUAAGUCUGUGUAUUUAAAACCAUGCAGUGAUUCAUUUGCUCCUUCACCCAACAUUAUAUAUCACAGAAAAAUGGUUUUUGGUUGAAAAGUCAAUUUCCCAGUGUUAUUCCAUGCAAUUUGUUUAUUUUUAAACAUUAAACGAAAAUAAUAUAACAGCUGGAAAAUGAGACUGAUUUAAGCCUCUGAAGCUCGCUUGUGGAACCCCCAUUCACUCCGUUACGCAAGAAAACCCAGUUUGGACACAUGUUAAGCUUGUGAAAGAUAGGAACCUUACUUUAGCUUGCAUCAAUUGUCAAAGAUCGGCUAGAAAGAUAAACUUGCCGAGUUUCAACCUUUCUUGAAUCUCACACUUUAGCUCGAUGAUUACAUCUCUAGGAUUUGAUCAUCUAUCCUGUAGUUUGAUCUUUUGUUUGGGAAUAUUAACUAAAUUAUGUACUCAAGUAUUGCUUCGAGAAAAGACUGGUUCACAAAAAUGGAGAAUUGUGCACAUAAUAUGGGAUAACUGGACAAUAAAUUGGUCAAACCAUUGGGGAAUAAUGGAAGAUGUAGAGGCAGCAUUGAUAAUACAGGGGUUGCUUUCUAGACUAUGAGGUGGGAUAUGCAAGAAGCUAAUGCGAAGAAUCAUUGUCACCUCUAGCUGAAUUAGUUGAACGUCGAGAUUAAAUAAGCAUGAAUGAGAGAAUGACAGCAUAAAUAUAUGCAAAGUGAGAUUUUAUGCAGCCUAUAAUAUUCUAGGAGCUCAAUACUGCAAUUUUUGUAGGCUUUGUGUAAUUUUGUGCUCUGCGAUCCCUUGUUUGCUAGUUUUAGCUCUUUUGGUUAUGGAGAAGCUUGUUUAUGCUUAUUCGAGAUACUUCUACUAAGCUUGAUUAGGUGGAAAAGUUACUGCAAACUAAUUAUAUAGUGUGUGUAUAUAGACACACACACAUACUUACAAGGAGAUGGAGUGUUGUCUGUUCUCUAAUGUUGCUCUUGAUAGACCCCUUGUAACGCCCCGACCCGCAUGGACGGAAACGUUACUCAACCAUUGUACCUUAGCCGUAAAGUUAGUUCAAUAUAUUUUUAUUAGAAGGUAUAAAGAUUAAAAUUUUAGAAUUUAAUUAAAGAAUUUUCUUUUUUUUAUUUAGACAAUAAUUCCAAUUUUAAAAGAAAACAAUUUCAAUUUUUUUUUUUUUUGAAUGGGUUCCAUGCAUGUAACGGCUAUUGACAUGAAAUUUUGGCAAAACUUAAAAACUAAUGUUGCUGUUCCAUUUUUUUUUUUUUUUUUUUUUUUUUUUUUUUUUUUGUCUCAAACAG